rnacentral:rRNA from 1 species
CCUACGGGGGGCUGCAGUGGGGAAUAUUGGACAAUGGGGGCAACCCUGAUCCAGCCAUGCCGCGUGUGUGAAGAAGGCCCUCGGGUUGUAAAGCACUUUCAGUGAGGAAGAACGCCUGGUGGUUAAUACCCAUCAGGAAAGACAUCACUCACAGAAGAAGCACCGGCUAACUCCGUGCCAGCAGCCGCGGUAAUACGGAGGGUGCGAGCGUUAAUCGGAAUUACUGGGCGUAAAGCGCGCGUAGGUGGCUUGAUAAGCCGGUUGUGAAAGCCCCGGGCUCAACCUGGGAACGGCAUCCGGAACUGUCAAGCUAGAGUGCAGGAGAGGAAGGUAGAAUUCCCGGUGUAGCGGUGAAAUGCGUAGAGAUCGGGAGGAAUACCAGUGGCGAAGGCGGCCUUAUGGACUGACACUGACACUGAGGUGCGAAAGCGUGGGUAGCAAACAGGAUUAGAUACCCUUGUAGUC